rnacentral:rRNA from 1 species
CCUACGGGCGGCAGCAGUCGAGAAUCAUUCACAAUGGGGGAAACCCUGAUGGUGCGACGCCGCGUGGGGGAAUGAAGGUCUUCGGAUUGUAAACCCCUGUCAUGUGGGAGCAAAUUAAAAAGAUAGUACCACAAGAGGAAGCGACGGCUAACUCUGUGCCAGCAGCCGCGGUAAUACAGAGGUCUCAAGCGUUGUUCGGAAUCACUGGGCGUAAGGGGUGCGUAGGCUGUUUCGUAAGUCGGGUGUGAAAGGCGCGGGCUCAACCCGCGGACGGCACAUGAUACUGCGAGACUAGAGUAAUGGAGGGGGAACCGGAAUUCUCGGUGUAGCAGUGAAAUGCGUAGAUAUCGAGAGGAACACUCGUGGCGAAGGCGGGUUCCUGGACAUUAACUGACGCUGAGGCACGAAGGCCAGGGGAGCGAAAGGGAUUAGAUACCCUGGUAGUC